UACGAAGGGGGCUAGCGUUGCUCGGAAUCACUGGGCGUAAAGCGCACGUAGGCGGCUUCUUAAGUCAGGGGUGAAAUCCUGGAGCUCAACUCCAGAACUCCCUUUGAUACUGAGGAGCUUGAGUCCGGGAGAGGUGAGUGGAACUGCGAGUGUAGAGGUGAAAUUCGUAGAUAUUCGCAAGAACACCAGUGGCGAAGGCGGCUCACUGGCCCGGUACUGACGCUGAGGUGCGAAAGCGUGGGGAGCAAACAGG
rnacentral:rRNA from 1 species